rnacentral:rRNA from 1 species
AACGAACGCUGGCGGCAUGCCUAACACAUGCAAGUCGAACGAAACCUUCGGGCCUAGUGGCGCACGGGUGCGUAACGCGUGGGAACCUGCCCUUAUGUUCGGAAUAACUCCCCGAAAGGGGUGCUAAUACCGGAUAAUGUCUUCGGACCAAAGAUUUAUCGCCUUUGGAUGGGCCCGCGUUGGAUUAGCUAGUUGGUAGGGUAAAAGCCUACCAAGGCGACGAUCCAUAGCUGGUCUGAGAGGAUGAUCAGCCACACUGGGACUGAGACACGGCCCAGACUCCUACGGGAGGCAGCAGUGGGGAAUAUUGGACAAUGGGCGAAAGCCUGAUCCAGCAAUGCAGCGUGAGUGAUGAAGGCCUUAGGGUUGUAAAGCUCUUUUACCCGGGAUGAUAAUGACAGUACCGGGAGAAUAAGCGCCGGCUAACUCCGUG